rnacentral:rRNA from 1 species
UGAUGAAGUUUCGGAUCGUAAGCUCUGUGUUAGGAGACAGUGCCGUCAAUAGGGCGGCACUGACGUACUACAGAAGCACGGCUAACUACGUGCCAGCAGCCGCGGUAAUACGUAGGUGGCAAGCGUGUCCGGAAUUAUUGGGCGUAAAGGGCUCGCAGGCGGUUUCUUAAGUCUGAUGUGAAAGCCCCCGGCUCAACCGGGGAGGGUCAUUGGAAACUGGGGAACUUGAGUGCAGAAGAGGAGAGUGGAAUUCCACGUGUAGCGGUGAAAUGCGUAGAGAUGUGGAGGAACACCAGUGGCGAAGGCGACUCUCUGGUCUGUAACUGACGCUGAGGAGCGAAAGCGUGGGGAGCGAACAGGAUUAGAUACCCUGGUAGUCCACGCCGUAAACGAUGAGUGCUAAGUGUUAGGGGGUUUCCGCCCCUUAGUGCUGCAGCUAACGCAUUAAGCACUCCGCCUGGGGAGUACGGUCGCAAGACUGAAACUCAAAGGAAUUGACGGGGGCCCGCACAAGCGGUGGAGCAUGUGGUUUAAUUCGAAGCAACGCGAAGAACCUUACCAGGUCUUGACAUCCUCUGACAAUCCUAGAGAUAGGACGUCCCCUUCGGGGGCAGAGUGACAGGUGGUGCAUGGUUGUCGUCAGCUCGUGUCGUGAGAUGUUGGGUUAAGUCCCGCAACGAGCGCAACCCUUGAUCUUAGUUGCCAGCAUUCAGUUGGGCACUCUAAGGUGACUGCCGGUGACAAACCGGAGGAAGGUGGGGAUGACGUCAAAUCAUCAUGCCCCUUAUGACCUGGGCUAC